rnacentral:rRNA from 1 species
CCUACGGGGGGCAGCAGUAGGGAAUAUUGCUCAAUGGGGGAAACCCUGAUGCAGCAACGCCGCGUGGAUGAUGAAGGUUUUCGGUUUGUACACCCCUUUUGUUAGAGAAGAUAAUGACGGUAUCUAACGAAUAAGCACCGGCUAACUACGUGCCAGCAGCCGCGGUAAUACGUAGGGUGCAAGCGUUACUCGGAAUCACUGGGCGUAAAGAGCGCGUCGGCGGGAUAGCAAGUCAGAUGUGAAAUCCUAUGGCUUAACCAUAGAACUGCAUGUGAAACUGUUAUUCUAGAGUAUGGGAGAGGUAGGUGGAAUGCUUGGUGUAGGGGUAAAAUCCGUAGAGAUCAAGAGGAAUACGCAGUGCGAAGGCGACCUGCUAGAACAUAACUGACGCUGAUGCGCGAAAGCGUGGGGAGCAAACAGGAUUAGAUACCCUUGUAGUC